rnacentral:rRNA from 1 species
GAUGAACGCUAGCGGCAGGCCUAAUACAUGCAAGCCGAACGGCAAGUUUGAUAGCAAUAUUGGACCUAGAGUGGCGCAAGGGUGCGUAACACGUAUGCAACCUGCCCGCGACAGGAGGAUAGCUCCCCGAAAGGGGAAUUAACCCUCCAUAACACCAUGAGAAGGCAUCUGAUUAUGGUUAAACCGCAAGGGGUCGCGGAUGGGCAUGCGGUUGAUUAGCUAGUUGGCGGGGUAAAGGCCCACCAAGGCGGUGAUCAAUAGGGGUUCUGAGAGGAAGGUCCCCCACACUGGAACUGGGAUACGGGCCAGACUCCUACGGGAGGCAGCAGUAGGGAAUAUUGGACAAUGGUUGCAAGACUGAUCCAGCCAUGCCGCGUGCAGGAAGAAGGCCUUCUGGGUCGUAAACUGCUUUUUCCUGUGGAUAAAAUACCCGUGCGCGGGGAAUUGAAGGUAACAGGGGAAUAAGCCACGGCUAACUACGUG